UACGUAGGGUGCAAGCGUUGUCCGGAAUUAUUGGGCGUAAAGAGCUCGUAGGCGGCCUGUCGCGUCGGCUGUGAAAACCCAGGGCUCAACCCUGGGCCUGCAUUCGAUACGGGCAGACUAGAGUAUGGCAGGGGAGACUGGAAUUCCUGGUGUAGCGGUGAAAUGCGCAGAUAUCAGGAGGAACACCGGUGGCGAAGGCGGGUCUCUGGGCCAAAACUGACGCUGAGGAGCGAAAGCGUGGGGAGCGAACAGG
rnacentral:rRNA from 1 species